UACGUAGGGGGCAAGCGUUGUCCGGAUUUAUUGGGCGUAAAGAGUGUGUAGGCGGUGCUCUAAGUUCGGUGUGAAAUCUCCCGGCUUAACUGGGAGGGUGCGCCGGAAACUGGAGUGCUCGAACGUGGGAGAGGAAAGUGGAAUUCCCGGUGUAGUGGUGAAAUGCGUAGAUAUCGGGAGGAACACCAGUGGCGAAGGCGACUAUCUGGGCUGCAACUGACGCUGAGGCGCGAAGGCUAGGGUAGCAAACAGG
rnacentral:rRNA from 1 species